CAAAAGCGUAUAUUAAAGUUGUUGCGGUUAAAAAGCUCGUAGUUGAACCUUGGGCUUGGCUGGCCGGUCCAUCUUUUUUGAUGCGUACUGGACCCAGCCGAGCCUUUCCUUCUGGCUAGCCUUUUGGCGAACCAGGACUUUUACUUUGAAAAAAUUAGAGUGUUCAAAGCAGGCCUUUGCUCGAAUAUAUUAGCAUGGAAUAAUAGAAUAGGACGUUAUGGUUCUAUUUUGUUGGUUUCUAGGACCAUCGUAAUGAUUAAUAGGGACGGUCGGGGGUAUCAGUAUUCAGUUGUCAGAGGUGAAAUUCUUGGAUUUACUGAAGACUAACUACUGCGAAAGCAUUUACCAAGGACGUUUUCAUUAA
rnacentral:rRNA from 1 species